UACGUAGGGUGCAAGCGUUAAUCGGAAUUACUGGGCGUAAAGCGUGCGCAGGCGGUGAUGUAAGGCAGUUGUGAAAUCCCCGGGCUCAACCUGGGAACUGCAUCUGUGACUGCAUCGCUGGAGUGCGGCAGAGGGGGAUGGAAUUCCGCGUGUAGCAGUGAAAUGCGUAGAUAUGCGGAGGAACACCGAUGGCGAAGGCAAUCCCCUGGGCCUGCACUGACGCUCAUGCACGAAAGCGUGGGGAGCAAACAGG
rnacentral:rRNA from 1 species